rnacentral:rRNA from 1 species
AGAGUUUGAUCCUGGCUCAGGAUGAACGCUAGCUACAGGCUUAACACAUGCAAGUCGAGGGGAAACGAUAUUGGAAGCUUGCUUCCGAUAGGCGUCGACCGGCGCACGGGUGAGUAACGCGUAUCCAACCUGCCCACCACUUGGGGAUAACCUUGCGAAAGUAAGACUAAUACCCAAUGAUAUCUCUAGAAGACAUCUGAAAGAGAUUAAAGAUUUAUCGGUGAUGGAUGGGGAUGCGUCUGAUUAGCUUGUUGGCGGGGUAACGGCCACCAAGGCGACGAUCAGUAGGGGUUCUGAGGAGGACGGUCCCCACUAGUGGACUGAGACGACGGUACCAACUCCGUACGGGAGGCA